rnacentral:lncRNA from 1 species
CAGGAAUAGGCAAAUUCAGACCAACACUGGACAUGAAAGUCACCGAUGGACAGCCAAGGGAAAUGCAGACACAUGUUGAACUAAGGAGACUUACGGAGCCCACACAGGUAAGGGUGCACAGUAAGACGCUCUGCCUGGACAAGCAUCUUCAGCAGGAUAAACGCAUGGCGCAGGAGGAGAGCGCACCAGGCCAGCAGUCCGUGGCUGCAUCUUUCCAUGGAGCGUGUUGAAUUGCACAGCUACCCAUCUUAGGAUUCCUCCUAAGUUCCCUCAGCCUACCUUCUCAAAUAUCUUUUGUUCACAGUAAAUGCUGAGAGCAUUUCUUUUUUCAGCUGACUCUGGUUGCUUUAAGAUUUAUGCACUCAUGUGGAAUAGAUCAGUGAAAUGUGAAAAGAUUUUAAAAUAUGGGCAAAGCCAAUUUUGUCAGAGUCAUCCUUGCAAACUCUUUUGGGUCCAACCAUCAUAUUGUUUAACAAGAUACAAAUCUUCCUGGUAAUGCAGAGAUACCCUUUAAUUUGUAUUUGCAGAAUUUAAUUCAAUGCCUCAUUCAGUGCAAGAAAAAUGAGUUUAAGCAGCUGGAACCUAGUGCUUGGAAUGGAGAGGAGAGAAUGAAUUGACUGCUGACUGGACGAUGUGGCGAAGUCUUAGAGAAAGACACCUCCGUCACAUGAGUUGAGACCUCCAUGUUGAACUGUCCUGGGGCGACUCCUGGAAGCCAGUGAUAAAUAAAGGAUGCUCUGGCUUUCAAAACCAGAAAGCAUCUUCGUGUGAAAGCAGUAUAGUAAAAAGUCUUUGAAGACUGGGUGUUCAUUUCGCCAAACAUUUUGUGCUUUCACCAAAACAAACACCACUAUUAUAUAAUAUUUAAGGCCAAAGUGAGGAUUAUUGGGGGCGGGAUGAUUACCUUGUGCUGUUUUAUCUCAGGGGGGAUCUCCCGGCCUGUGUCUGAGGUCCAGCCUGCAGCCCUUGAGGAUGUGUGGGAUGGGUCCUUGCAAAGGAAGCAGUUUGCCCUCAGGUGUCUCCCUGAGACUUGAUCAUUUCAUGGUGAAGUGCACCAUCCAGGGUGGCCUCUGACUUUGCUUUCUGGACUUGGGAAAAGCCCUCUUCAGCUUCCUGUUCCAGGUAAGGACGCUGCCUUAGGCAGUAAGUCUGCUGUCACUGGGUAUGGAGAUAUAGGUUCCCAUGGCAACCCCUUAAGUUUGAGACGUGACAGGUUUUCCAGCUGGCCACUCCCAAUGUCUACACCACAUUCUGCUGUAGGUCAUCUCUGCUGCAUCUUCCCAACUUCAUCUGCUGCACUGUGUGUUCCCUUCCAAGCCCCUUUCUUACAAAAGAGAUGGGCUAAAACUUUGACUUAAU